CUUCCCUUGUUGAUCUUUUUAGUUUUCCACCUUCCUUUCAGUUUCAGUUUAGAUGUAAUUUUAUCUGUGAGGCUUCCCUUAGCUUCUUCAGUCAGUUUAGUUACCCCUCCUUCCUCUAAAUCGCUUUGCACUUAUAACUCAUAGCCUUGUUCAAGGCUUAGGCGGAAUUUUGUAAUGAACAAAAUGGAUAGGAUCCUAGUCUUCACAGAGUUACCGUUGUGACAAGUGCUUGUCAUUCAUUCAUUCAACAAACAUUUAAUAAAUGUCUCCUGUGCACCAAGCAGUGGGAUAAAAUGAGGAACAAGUGUCUGCAGUCACGCAACAAAAAAUGGAUUAAGACGCCAAGAGUGGAGAGUCCCUGCACAAACUGGAUUCAACAAGGACAGAAAGGAAGCCCAAACGCUUUACAUAUUGCCUGCUUUACACCCCAGGCUCAAGUCCAGAAAGUCCCUGUGAUACAACUCUCCAGUGAUUUCCCCUGAGGUCCAACCUAGUAGGUGCUUAAAAAGUCUUUGUUGUAAAUUAAUAAAUUAAUCCAAAACCAC
rnacentral:lncRNA from 1 species